GUAGGUAUAGCUCAGUUGGUUAGAGCAUCAGAUUGUGGUUCUGAGGGUCGUCGGUUCGAGCCCGAUUACUUACCCCA
rnacentral:tRNA from 1 species